GACGAACGCUGGCGGCGUGCCUAAUACAUGCAAGUUGAGCGAUGAAGCUUGGUGCUUGCACCAAUUUGCAGAGCAGCGAACGGGUGAGUAACGCGUGGGGAAUCUGCCUUUGAGCGGGGGACAACAUUUGGAAACGAAUGCUAAUACCGCAUAACAACUUUAAACAUAAGUUUUAAGUUUGAAAGAUGCAAUUGCAUCACUCAAAGAUGAUCCCGCGUUGUAUUAGCUAGUUGGUGAGGUAAAGGCUCACCAAGGCGAUGAUACAUAGCCGACCUGAGAGGGUGAUCGGCCACAUUGGGACUGAGACACGGCCCAAACUCCUACGGGAGGCAGCAGUAGGGAAUCUUCGGCAAUGGACGAAAGUCUGGCCGAGCAACGCCGCGUGAGUGAAGAAGGUUGUCGGAUCGUAAAACUCUGUUGGUAGAGAAGAACGUUGGUGAGAGUGGAAAGCUCAUCAAGUGACGGUAACUACCCAGAAAGGGACGGCUAACUACGUG
rnacentral:rRNA from 1 species